rnacentral:rRNA from 1 species
GAAGGUUUUCGAAUCGUAAACUUCUGUUAUAAGAGAAGAAAUACUAGAAUAGGAAAUGAUUCUAAUUUGACGUUAUCUUACUAGAAAGUCACGGCAAACUAUGUGCCAGCAGCCGCGGUAAUACAUAGGUGGCAAGCGUUAUCCGGAUUUAUUGGGCGUAAAGAGUGCACAGGCGGUUUAUUAAGUCAGUUGUGAAAGGUUGAGGCUCAACCUCAACAGGCAAUUGAAACUAAUAAACUAGAAUACAGGUGGGGGUAGUGGAAUUUCAUGUGUAGCGGUGGAAUGCAUAAAUAUAUGAAGGAACACCAGUGGCGAAGGCGGCUACCUGAACUGAUAUUGACGCUUAAGUACGAAAGCGUGGGGAGCAAAUAGGAUUAGAUACCCUAGUAGUCCACGCCGUAAACGAUCUAGACUAGUUGUU